rnacentral:rRNA from 1 species
CCAGCCUCACUGGCACUGAGACACUGGCCAGACACCUACGGGUGGCUGCAGUCGAGAAUCUUCGGCAAUGGACGAAAGUCUGACCGAGCGACGCCGCGUGCGGGACGAAGGCCUUCGGGUUGUAAACCGCUGUCGAGGGGGAUUAAGGGCAACUUGAAAGAACCCUGGAGGAAGGAGAGGCUAAGCUCGUGCCAGCAGCCGCGGUAAGACGAGCUCUCCAAACGUUAUUCGGUAUCACUGGGCUUAAAGAGUUCGUAGGCGGCUUUACAGGUGGGGUGUGAAAGCCCUCGGCUCAACCGAGGAAUUGCGCCCCAAACCGUAAGGCUUGAGGGAUAUAGGGGUAAGCGGAACAGAUGGUGGAGCGGUGAAAUGCAUUGAUAUCAUCUGGAACACCGGUGGCGAAGGCGGCUUACUGGAUAUUUUCUGACGCUGAGGAACGAAAGCUAGGGUAGCGAACGGGAUUAGAUACCCCGGUAGUCCUAGCCGUAAACGAUGAGCACUAGUUUGAAGGACUCUCACAGUCUUUCGAACGUAGCGA